CCUACGGGUGGCUGCAGUGGGGAAUAUUGGACAAUGGGCGAAAGCCUGAUCCAGCCAUGCCGCGUGUGUGAAGAAGGCCUUCGGGUUGUAAAGCACUUUCAGUGGGGAAGAAAGCCUUGGGGCUAAUACCCUCGAGGAAGGACAUCACCCACAGAAGAAGCACCGGCUAACUCCGUGCCAGCAGCCGCGGUAAUACGGAGGGUGCGAGCGUUAAUCGGAAUUACUGGGCGUAAAGCGCGCGUAGGCGGUCUGAUAAGCCGGUUGUGAAAGCCCCGGGCUCAACCUGGGAACGGCAUCCGGAACUGUCAGGCUAGAGUGCAGGAGAGGAAGGUAGAAUUCCCGGUGUAGCGGUGAAAUGCGUAGAGAUCGGGAGGAAUACCAGUGGCGAAGGCGGCCUUCUGGACUGACACUGACGCUGAGGUGCGAAAGCGUGGGUAGCAAACAGGAUUAAUACCCGAGUAGUC
rnacentral:rRNA from 1 species